rnacentral:rRNA from 1 species
CUGGCAACAGCGAUAAGGGAACCUCGAGUGCCAGGUUACAAAAUCUGGCUGUCGAGAUGCCUAAAAAAGCAUUUCAUAGCAAGGGCCGGGCAAGACCGGUGCCAGCCGCCGCGGUAACACCGGCGGCUCGAGUGGUAACCGUUAUUAUUGGGUCUAAAGGGUCUGUAGCCGGCCAGGUAAGUCCCUUGGGAAAUCUGGCAGCUCAACUGUCAGGCUGCUAGGGGAUACUGUUUGGCUUGGGACCGGGAGAGGUGAGAGGUACCUUGGGGGUAGGGGUGAAAUCUUGUGAUCCUCGAGGGACCACCAGUGGCGAAGGCGUCUCACCAGAACGGGUCCGACGGUAAGGGACGAAAGCUAGGGGCACGAACCGGAUUAGAUACCCGGGUAGUCCUAGCCGUAAACGAUGCUCGCUAGGUGUCAGUCACGGUGCGACCGUGAUUGGUGCCGUAGGGAAGCCGUGAAGCGAGCCACCUGGGAAGUAUGGCCGCAAGGCUGAAACUUAAAGGAAUUGGCGGGGGAGCACUACAACGGGUGGAGCCUGCGGUUUAAUUGGAUUCAACGCCGGAAAUCUCACCGGGGGCGACAGCGAUAUGAAGGUCAGGCUGAAGACUUUACCGGAUUAGCUGAGAGGUGGUGCAUGGCCGUCGUCAGUUCGUACUGUGAAGCAUCCUGUUAAGUCAGGUAACGAGCGAGACCC